rnacentral:rRNA from 1 species
GCAAGUCGAACGGUAGUAUGGCUUCGGCCAUAUGAGAGUGGCGAACGGGUGAGUAACACGUAGAUGAUCUGCCCUUGAGUUGGGGAUAGCCCAUGGAAACAUGGAGUAAUACCGAAUACGUUCCGGAGGCUAUAGCUUCUGGAGGAAAAGCGCUUCGGCGCUGCUCGAGGAUGAGUCUGCGGCUGAUUAGCUAGUUGGUGGGGUAAGAGCCCACCAAGGCGACGAUCAGUAGCCGGCCUGAGAGGGUGAGCGGCCACACUGGGACUGAGAUACGGCCCAGACUCCUACGGGAGGCAGCAGCUAAGAAUCUUCCGCAAUGGACGAAAGUCUGACGGAGCGAUGCCGCGUGGAUGAAGAAUGCAGAGAUGUUGUAAAAUCCUUUUAUGAGUGAGGAAUAAUAUUAUCAGGAAAUGGAUAGUAGAUGACGUUAGCUCAUGAAUAAGCUCCGGCCAAUUACGUGCCAGCAGCCGCGGUAACACGUAAGGAGCGAGCGUUGUUCGGAAUUAUUGGGCGUAAAGGGCGUGUAGGCGGUUAAUUAAGUCUUGUUUGAAAGACCGAUGCUCAACAUCGGAAACGGACAGGAAACUGAUUAACUAGAAUCCGGUAGGGAAAUGUGGAAUUUCUAGUGUAGGGGUGAAAUCUGUUGAUAUUAGAAAGAACACCAAUGGCGAAGGCAACAUUUUGGGCCUGGAUUGACGCUGAGGCGCGAAAGCAUAGGGAGCAAACAGGAUUAGAUACCCUGGUAGUCUAUGCCGUAAACUUUGUACACUUGGUGUCGGGGGUCAAACCUCGGUACCGAAGCUAACGCGAUAAGUGUACCGCCUGGGGAGUAUGCCGGCAACGGUGAAACUCAAAGGAAUUGACGGGGGCCCGCACAAGCGGUGGAGCAUGUGGUUUA